GAGCGGGUCGCCGCGUGC
rnacentral:snRNA from 1 species